UACGUAGGGAGCAAGCGUUGUUCGGAUUUACUGGGCGUAAAGGGCGCGUAGGCGGCGCGGUAAGUCACUUGUGAAAUCUCUGAGCUUAACUCAGAACGGCCAAGUGAUACUGCAGUGCUAGAGUGCAGAAAGGGCAAUCGGAAUUCCCGGUGUAGCGGUGAAAUGCGCAGAUAUCGGGAGGAACACCAAUGGCGAAGGCAGCUCGCUGGGACGGUACUGACGCUGAGACGCGAAAGCGUGGGGAGCAAACAGG
rnacentral:rRNA from 1 species